AGCUCCUGUGUCUACCCCACUCAGUGGGUCCUGUCCCUCAGGCUACCCUGGAAGUUCAGAGCCAUACUCAGAUCACAUGGGACUCUGCCAACUGCCUACCCGGUGGUCCUGGCCUCACACCUGCUGCCCCGCUGUUCAAACCAGAAGCAGCUCUUAUGUGGAUAGCAGCAGGACCUCUAGCAUCCUCUGCUUCCUCCUCUCCCUCUGCUGGGCUGCCCAAGGACCACCCAUCAGGGCUUCAGAGACCAUCGGGAGCUGUCUCAGGUUGAAGCCAGAAGCCAUCCUGAAGGUACUAUCCCCAACCCCCAAGGGCCUGGCUGUAUCUUCUGUUCCCCUGGAUGACUCUACCCACCUUGUCCGAGUAUGGGUUCAUCACAGGCCUGUAGGGUCACGUGGCUAGCAGCCCCAACCCACAGCCCUGGUAAUAGGCAGUGAUGCACCUGGUACCCCAUAAAGAAGCUUCCUGUGGUCAGGCAGCGGUGGCGCAUGCCUUUAAUCCCAGCACUUGGGAGGCAGAGCCAGGUGGAUCUCUGUGAGUUCGAGGCCAGCCUGGGCUACAGAGUAAGAUCCAGGAAUGGCACCAAAACUACACAGAGAAACCUUGUCUCGAAAAAAACAAAAAAAAAAAAAAGAGAGAGAGAGAAAGAAAAGAAAGAAAGAACGGAAGGAAGGAAGGAAGGAAGGAAGGAAGGAAGGAAGGAAGGAAGGAAGGAAGAAAGAAAGAAAGCAAGAAAGAAAGAAAGAAAGAAAGAAAGAAAGAAAGAAAGAAAGAAAGAAAGAAAGAAAGAAAGAAAAAGAAAAAAAGAAGCUUCCUGUGGAGUCCCUGGGGCCACUCAGUGGGCCAUCCACUGCCAACAGGACCCCUGCUUAACCAGACCACUUCUCAGAUGAGAUCAAGGCCCAAGACAAAGUGGCCUGGCCAGGACCAAGAAUCUGGUUAGAAUCUGGUUACGGCAAGAUCAAAACCAGGCCCGGACCACAUGCCAGAUUGUUCAUUCACUCACACCCUAAGGGGUAGGCCUGGCUGCCCUACCCAUUGGAGAGAUGAGGAAAUAGGCCCAGAGCAGUGAAGCCACUUGCCCAAUGACACACAGCUAAGAACAGGAACAGGAAUGAGAUUCCCGAGCUGGACCUCUACCCACCAGCUCUGCUGAGAUUGCUGGUGUGCUUGGUGGUGGUGGUGGUGGUGGUGGUGGUGGUGGUGGUGGUGUGUGUGUGUGAAACAUCCAGCAGCAGAGACCUGAGCAUGGCCCUCCCUCAGCAGACAUCAGCUUCCUUCUUCGUCAAAGAGACCUUCUCCUCCCACAGCCACAGACCCUGAGCAACAAAGACGCAGGGAAGAAAUGGCGGAAGCAUGCCGGCCAUCGCCAAGGGAUGGGAGACCUAGGGGACCAGCGACCAGGAGCUCGUGGGGCAGGCAAGGCACAGGCCCGGCACCACAGGGCCACCAGGAGACUAGAAAGACAGGCAGAAGCCAGGCACCUCAGAGGCCUGCGCUCUGCCAAGCAGACCGUCCACACACCACGGCACCUGCCGAGCUCAGUAGCUGCCUGGCCUAGGACACGGACAAACAGAAGAGAGGGACAAGGAGACGGGAGCUCGGGACACCCACGAGGCCCAGGCAAACCCAAACCCUCGCAAACGCGCCCAAGCUCUGGACGAGUCUAAGGAUACCUUCCUGGAAGUUAUUUUGUAAAGUAACUAGCUCCCAACUCCUCUUAGGAAAAGCCACAUUUUCAGACUGGGCUUGCGUAAAGCGAUGUGGCCCUCCUGGCUCUCUGGGUGCAUCUGUGUCGUGCACCCGCUGUGAGCACCGCAGGGGUAGGGGGAGCUUGACUGCAGUUCCCCACCCCCCAGCACAAGGCAGGUAGGUAUACAGUAGGUGGUCAGUAAAUGCAGCAGUCAACGCCAACUGUCAGUGCUCACGUCCCCGGGUCCGUGAUCAGGCAGCAGGCACCGGCUGCUGCCAUCUUCAGGCCUUCUGAGGAACCUCCUCGGUGAAGGUCAGAGCCAUCGGUGGCCACAGCCCUGAGAAGGGAAAACUGAAGCCAAAGAAGGCAAUGGCCUGGACCGAGGCCUCAGCACACCCCAUCGCCUUCUAGAGCGCCCCUUCUAUCCAGACUCAUUGACUGCUGCAGGUUCCCAGGCCCCUCAUCAGGGUGCCAUCCUCUGCCCCCUCCUCUCCACGGUCCGACAUGUGCUAUUCUCCUAGCUCAGUGGUUCUCAACCUUCCUAUUGCUGCAACCCCUUAAUACAGUUCCUCAUGUUGUGGUGACCCCCCCCCCCAACCAUGAAAUCAUUUUCAUCGCUACUCCAUAACUGUAAUUUCGCCACAGUUAUGAAUCGUAACUCAAACAUCUGAUAUGUGACCCCUGUGAAAGGGUCAUUUGACCCCCUCCCUCCCCCGAAGAGGUCGCGACCCACAGGUUGAGAACCACUGCCCCGGGUGCUGGCACUUCAGGCAUCAGCUUGCAAGGUGCCACCAUAGGCUGUCCAAACAUGCUUCCAGCUCAGCAGGCCCACACUGCUGCUCCGCCUCAAGCACCCCCACAUGUCAAGGUCACCAUCGCCUGCCAUCUGGUUAGCUUUAUCGACAACGCUGCCUCUCCCACCGGGUGAUGAGACCCACUUCACGGUCCAGCCCUUUGCUCUCCACCUGCAACCUCUCGACACUGCCUGCAAGACAGAGCCUUCCAGAAGGCUGCUCUGGGGCUGCCUGAGCCUCUCAAAAUCAACUGGGGUUCUGCAGUCCUGGGGAUGGACCCUCGCUCCUGAAAGUGAUAGGAAGCAUCUAUGAUAAGAGCCUAUGUCUUCCUCCGACCUCUGCUGUGAACCUCCCCAGGACCGGCCCCGUCACCGCCUCCAGGAUGUGUUUCCCCAGCCCAGGUUUCUCUACUGAAUUGUCCCGCACUUGGCAGCUCAGCACCCAAGGCCCACGGUUUCCCCUCUAGAGGGCCAGGGCAGUAUGGGUGUGACUCUGUGUCGCAGCAUGAAGCCAACACAGAGAAGGAACCCUGGAGGGGAAAGUGAGAAAGCAAAAGGACCACGUGCCCUCUCCGGCAGGUCCCCACCAGUCCUACCCUCAGCACAGUGGGCGUUCUCACUUCUUCUGCACCCGACAACAGGCUCCAUGUGGUUCUUAUCGCAACUCUAGGGCCUUGACCAGCAUGCUGAUCACGUGCCAGCCCGGCUUGGACCUGCUCAGGACGGACGGUCAGGCCAGGUGGGUGCCAAGGGACAGGGAAAAGAGAAGGACGUGGAGAGAGCUUCUGAGAUGAGCUUCGUCUGCAAUGUGCAGCUGACACAGCUGUCCUCUCGUCCGUGGGCCCCCACUCACACACGGGCAGGCAGAGGCUCCGACAGCAAGGCAGGCAGCUGUCCCGGAGCUAACCCCUGCCUGCAUCUGCUCCUGAGAGGCACAAGGGCCUCUGAACAGAGGAGGGAAAGAACAUCGGAUUGCAUCCCAGGAGCCACGGGCUCCGAGACAAGGACAGCAAGCAGGCACCUGCAACCUGGACCCACACUCUCGCUCCGAAACCUCCAGCUGCGUGACCUUGGGCAGCCUGGGCAGCUUCUCUGGGCCGGCUUCCUCGUGGGUCUCUAGGGACACAAUGUUAGAUGAAAUCAGAGCAGCGCACACUGCCGAGCACCUCGUGAAUCAGGCCCUUUCAGGGUCCUCCUCACAAAAGCCUGCUCAGAGCCCUGCAGCCGUAAACUAGGGCAGCAGACCUGUUAGCCCGUGCAGUGCCCUGCAUGGCGACCUCAAGCCUUGCACAAUGACCUCACGCUACAGGUUCCCCCUGGCUCUGCCCUUGCCUUCCACCCUUCAAAGGCAGCUGGGCUGCUCGGCUUCUAGUCCAGCUGUUUCUGCACGUGAGUCUGUCGCAGCAGCAGCAGCAGCAGCAGCAGCUCCAGACUGCGGCCUUCCCUUCCGCUCAGAGAGCAAGCCCUCACCCUGGAUCCGACCCGCCCUUCCCUCCCCGUGUGCCGCCACCUAACAGCGCCACCGGACUGCUGCAGCAGCUGCCCCCAGGAAGCCCCCUCCUGACCGCCAGCCUCAGCCUAUCCCCGCCCCCAGCAGUCGCCUGGCACCUCCCCAGCUCCCUGGGGAUUUGACAAGCCCCCGUGGCUGGAACCUGGAUGAACUGCAUCCUCUCAGCAUAAACUACCUCUCACUACACACAUACACAAAUGCUUAUGUGCCACGUUAUGCAUGUACACGUGCCACACAAACGUAUACAUGCAAGCCUGUGUGUGCUGUGCACAUACAUAUGCAUAUCCAUGUACACAUACAUGUCAUACAUAUGUACACGUAUGCCACAUACACUUGUGCUCACCUAUACAUACAUAUACACCAUCCCCCCACCCCCCGCUCGUGCUGGGCCCUCUGGAUAUGGCCCUUGUUUUGACCCCUCUCUUGACCCUGCCCUUCCCUACCACUCUCCCUCACUCCAGAACUCUCCAGAAUGGCGUCAAGCCCCCUUUCCAUCCCGCUCCUCUUCCCCUCUGCAUUGGUGUUUGGUUCCGAAAUGCCACACCCACACCACAGCUCUCGCAUGCCCAGCAUGUUCCCUACGGCUAGAAGACACCACGGAAUCCUGACUUCUCCUCGGGGCCUUCCUCACGCUCCCCUCCAGACCUCCCCAGUGCUGCGGCCUUGUAAACAUCUCGCUGUCUAACGUUAGCGUCUGCUCACACCUCUUGGCCUACCCAGAGAUUGCCACAGCCCAUUGGGCUGGCAACUGCUGUUUCCCACCAGGGACUCCAAGCUGCCUCCUACAGGAAGUCCUCCAGCCCGGCAGGCACCAGUCAUCCCAGAAGGCUUGGUCUCUGAGUCUGCCCUCCUCCUUGGCCUUGGGAAUCCUGGUCUCAGAGGCCUUGUCUUUCGGCCUCUGGACCCAGCUACCUGCACGAUCUCCUUCCAAAUAGGGCCCAGAGCUGUCUCUCCCGUGCUGUCCCAGCUUUGAGGGGGCUGCUCAGUCUACAGUGACCCUCUUAGCCAUCACUUCUUCCAUCCCCGUGAGCACUCAGAGUCACACACCUGAGCUCCUGCCCCGUCCUCAGAGCCCCUGACUCCCGUUGGUUAAAAUGAAAACGCACAUCUAUCUAGACUCAUUACUUCACCUCUCCCUGGUCCCAGCCACCCUGCAAGGCCUUCCUCGGUGAAGCAAAAAUAUAAGGGUUUAAAGACACCACUGAAACCUCAAAGAAGCCCCAAGGUACAGAGAGGGGAAACUGAGGCAGAGAGGUGCUCCUCCAAGCCACUGAGGACAGGGCUUAUGACCUGGACUGCCUCCCUGCCUACUAAAGCUAGACCCUGGGGGCGGGGGCAAAACCCACAUGGAAGGGCGGGGGCGGGGGCCAGUGAUGGUAAGAGAGGUGGGUCAUUAGCCUCCCUGGCCAGCAGCCUUGACCUAACCCCCCCGAGAGCCCCCAUGUGGAAACCCAGAGGAAGGUCCAUGGUUGGCUGGCACAGAUCCCACCCACACCUGGGGACAAGUGCAUCUGCCUUCUCCCUCCCUAGGGACCUGGGCUCCUGGGACUGAACCACCUGAACAGGCCAGGGCCUCUGAGCAGGUCCCUGGUGGCGAAGUGUGAGCUGCCCAUAGCCCAGAGACACAAGGAGAGACUCUCUGAGUAGCUGUCUAUUCCACAGACAGGAAACUGAGGCCCACAGGCCUGUCACAUCUCCCCAAAGUGGCCCAGUGUCCCGAUCCUCUGGGGCUACCCCUGGAAGAAAGAAUACCCACUCUUCCCAUGAGCCCCACACCUAACCAGAGCAGACAGCAGCGAGGGUCGGCUUCCAAACCACAAGUUCCCACACCCUGCCCGUCUCUAGGCCUGUCAACAUGGCUCCCAGCCCCUGCCUUUCUUCUUCCUGUCUUGGGGAGAUCCAGUGAGGUUUGCUAAGCCAGAAUCACUCUCAACUCACAAAUCGCCAUACUUGCAAGGGACUGCCGGUUCCCAAAGCGAAAGCCACCACGGUAAGUCACUCAUCAUUCUGCUCCUCCAGGCCCUAGUCCAUGCCUUGGGGCAGGAGUGAGGGACCCGUGGAGAGCAGACAGGCAUGGCACUGCCCUGAGGAAGCUCACGGCUUCUGGGGAGACCCGCAGGAGACCAGACGUUUGUCUGUGAGACAUGGUGCGUGGGGGUGGGGCUAUGGGGCUUCGGGCUUCGGGACAGCAUCCUAGAGCAGGCCAGGAUGAGACUCCAGAGCAAGGAUCACCUCCUUCUCCAGCUCAUGGAAGACAAGGAGCUCAGGGGACAUGACUCACCCAGCGAAGGGGGGCGUGGCUGCCUGACAAGCCAGGGCCAUCCCUACUGUUCUUCACAGAGCUAGGAGGUGGGACUGUCGCUGUCUCUGCUCUAAAAGUGAGGGAACUGAGUCCCAGAGGUCGGAAGCAACUGGCCUCAGACCCUCUCACUCUCAGGCAGCAAAGCUGGUGGUCUGUAGGCUUUCCUAUCCGUCCCGGGGUCUCUGAAGUGGCGGAUGGCAGUUGCUAGAACACACUCCCUCUGAUCUAAGGGCUGAGUGACUGCAUUGAAGCCAGAGGCUCCCAGAGCCAGCAGAGCAAGAGGAGGCCCAGCCACAGUUUUGGAGACCCGAACCCCGCAGGCACUCUGGAGCCAUGGCCACAGCUGGGUCACAAACUCACCUGGAAUCAGCCACCGCAAGCCAGGACUGGGCAGGAGCAAAGGCCAGCCUUACCCGGAGGCACAGGGAGGGUAUUUCUGUGUCACCGGGCAGAGCCCACCUCAGCCCUCCCCGUAACACACGCCAACGAGGGGUAUGAAUUUCUGCAUCCUUAACUUCCCAAAUGUUAACAGGCUCAUAAACAUUAAGAUAUUCUUCCUCAGCCCCACGACACCCUGCAUUUGUUUAAUUUUGUUUUUCCUCCCUCCCUCCCCCAGCAUCCAUCCGCGAGCGAUGGUGAGAGACAUGAAAAGCUGCAGACUCCAGUGUCUGCCUGCCAAGUGGGUCUACCAUUCCCUCCCCACCCCCUGCCCUGGGUGGGGGGGAAAGGGGAGAGCCCCCAACACACUCAUACACACACACACACACACACACACACACACACACACAUACACACACACGUAUGCAUGCACGCAUACACACACACACACACACACACACACACACACACACACACACACACACGAAA